AAUAUUGCACAAUGGGCGCAAGCCUGAUGCAGCAACGCCGCGUGAGUGAUGAAGGCUUUCGGGUCGUAAAACUCUGUCCUUGGGGAAGAAUAAAAUGACGGUACCCAAGGAGGAAGCCCCGGCUAACUACGUGCCAGCAGCCGCGGUAAUACGUAGGGGGCGAGCGUUAUCCGGAAUCAUUGGGCGUAAAGGGUGUGUAGGCGGUUUGUUAAGCGAGAGGUGAAAGGCUAUGGCUCAACCAUAGUAAGCCUUUCGAACUGGCGAACUUGAGUGCAGGAGAGGAGAGCGGAAUUCCUAGUGUAGCGGUGAAAUGCGUAGAUAUUAGGAGGAACACCAGUGGCGAAGGCGGCUCUCUGGACUGUAACUGACGCUGAGGCACGAAAGCGUGGGGAGCAAACAGGAUUAGAUACCCUGGUAGUCCACGCCGUA
rnacentral:rRNA from 1 species